AAACAGGUUUUUCUUUUCGGUAACCUCUAAAAACCACUAAAUUUCACUGAAAGAAUAUAU
rfam:Enterobius vermicularis genome assembly, scaffold: EVEC_scaffold0000117